rnacentral:rRNA from 1 species
GAUGAACGCUGGCGGCGUGCCUAAUACAUGCAAGUCGAGCGAACAGACGAGGAGCUUGCUCCUCUGACGUUAGCGGCGGACGGGUGAGUAACACGUGGAUAACCUACCUAUAAGACUGGGACAACUUCGGGAAACCGGAGCUAAUACCGGAUAAUAUAUUGAACCGCAUGGUUCAAUAGUGAAAGACGGGUUUGCUGUCACUUAUAGAUGGAUCCGCGCCGCAUUAGCUAGUUGGUAAGGUAACGGCUUACCAAGGCAACGAUGCGUAGCCGACCUGAGAGGGUGAUCGGCCACACUGGAACUGAGACACGGUCCAGACUCCUACGGGAGGCAGCAGUAGGGAAUCUUCCGCAAUGGGCGAAAGCCUGACGGAGCAACGCCGCGUGAGUGAUGAAGGUCUUCGGAUCGUAAAACUCUGUUAUUAGGGAAGAACAAAUGUGUAAGUAACUAUGCACGUCUUGACGGUACCUAAUCAGAAAGCCACGGCUAACUACGUG